rnacentral:rRNA from 1 species
GUUAGCGGCGGACGGGUGAGUAACACGUGGGCAACCUACCUUAUCGACUGGGAUAACUCCGGGAAACCGGGGCUAAUACCGGAUAACAUCUAGCACCUCCUGGUGCCGGAUUAAAAGAGGGCUUCUUGCUCUCACGAUGAGAUGGGCCCGCGGCGCAUUAGCUAGUUGGAGAGGUAACGGCUCCCCAAGGCGACGAUGCGUAGCCGACCUGAGAGGGUGAUCGGCCACACUGGGACUGAGACACGGCCCAGACUCCUACGGGAGGCAGCAGUAGGGAAUCUUCCGCAAUGGACGAAAGUCUGACGGAGCAACGCCGCGUGAGUGAUGAAGGGUUUCGGCUCGUAAAGCUCUGUUAUGAGGGAAGAACACGUACCGUUCGAAUAGGGCGGUACCUUGACGGUACCUCAUCAGAAAGCCACGGCUAACUACGUGCCAGCAGCCGCGGUAAUACGUAGGUGGCAAGCGUUGUCCGGAAUUAUUGGGCGUAAAGCGCGCGCAGGCGGCCUUUUAAGUCUGAUGUGAAAUCUUGCGGCUCAACCGCAAGCGGCCAUUGGAAACUGGGAGGCUUGAGUACAGAAGAGGAGAGUGGAAUUCCACGUGUAGCGGUGAAAUGCGUAGAUAUGUGGAGGAACACCAGUGGC